GACGAACCGUGCGAACGUUGUUCGGAAUCACUGGGCUUAAAGGGCGCGUAGGCGGCAGAUCAAGUCCGGGGUGAAAUCCUCCAGCUCAACUGGAGAAGUGCCUUGGAUACUGAUGUGCUCGAGGGAGGUAGGGGUCCGCGGAACUUCUGGUGGAGCGGUGAAAUGCGUUGAUAUCAGAAGGAACGCCGGUGGCGAGAGCGGCGGACUGGAUCUCUUCUGACGCUGAGGCGCGAAAGCUAGGGGAGCAAACGGG
rnacentral:rRNA from 1 species